rnacentral:tRNA from 1 species
GAGGGUGUCGCUUGGUGGUAGAGCGUGUGCUUAGCAUGCGUAAGGCCCUAGGUUCAAUCCUCAGCACCUCCA